rnacentral:rRNA from 1 species
GACGAACGCUGGCGGCGUGCUUAACACAUGCAAGUCGAACGGAAAGGCCCAGCUUUUGGGGGGUGCUCGAGUGGCGAACGGGUGAGUAACAAGGGAGUAACCUGCCCUUGACAUUGGGAUAACUUCAGGAGACUGGGGCUAAUACAGGGGAGGAGAUACUGCUGCAAGGCGGGGGAAGGAAAGUUUCGGCGGUUGGGGAUGGAUUCGCGGCUUAUCAGCUUGUGGGUGUGGUAGUGGUUGACCAAGGCUUAGACAGGUAGCCGGCCUGGGAGGGUGACCGGCAACAUUGGAACUGAGAUACGGCCCAGACUCCUACGGGAGGCAGAAGUGCGGAAUAUUGCACAAUAGGCUGAAGCCUGAUGCAGCAACGCGGCGUGGGGGAUAAGGACCUUCUAGUUGUAAACCAAUUUCCCCUGUGACGAAAAGUGAGUGACGGUAAUGGGUAAGGAAGCACCGGCUAACUACGUG